UACGGAGGGUGCGAGCGUUAUCCGGAUUUAUUGGGUUUAAAGGGUGCGUAGGCGGAACUUUAAGUCAGUGGUGAAAUCCUGCGGCUCAACCGUAGCACUGCCAUUGAUACUGAAGUUCUUGAAUGUAGUUGAGGUAUGCGGAAUGUGUAAUGUAGCGGUGAAAUGCUUAGAUAUUACACAGAACACCGAUUGCGAAGGCAGCAUACUAAGCUAUGAUUGACGCUGAUGCACGAAAGCGUGGGGAGCGAACAGG
rnacentral:rRNA from 1 species